CUGGGUCUGAAAGGUGGACACUGUUGCCUCCGGACUGCUGCCAAAGCAAGAUGACCACAAAACAAAGUGAAAUAAGAGUUCUUUAAAGGGAAAGCUAAAACAUUUUGACAUGAACUAUGAUGCCUUCUACUUUAAGGUUUCAGGUGGUGGCUUUAAAGUUUAAAGGGACCAGCCUUGCUCCGAGAGUCUGUGCUAGGAAGCAGAGCUGCGCACGCCCGUCUCCUGUCUUUCGGGGUACUCUGCACGCCCGUCUCCUGUCUCUUGGGGUACACUCACAGCUGUAUACUGAACCGCUGGGAGCCUGCACAGUCAGUCGCUGCUGAAACAGGAGGUGGUGUUAAUUUUGAAAACGAUCCAUGCUGUAAUGUCAUGAACCAGGAAGCUGGAAUCCUUCACCAGCUCUUUAUGCAAAUAUUUGGCUGCAGCUUGAGCUCAAGCACUUGGAAGGAGUGGGUUUUAAAAACUCGGCUUCAUUGUAGAGCUCUCAUUAACCCCAUUCCUCCCCCGGAAUGGUCCCUUUGUAGACCUCCCCAGGUUAUCUCCCGCAGGAAAAGUCGUGGAAAUACACCCGGAUCAAAACGCCCCUCGCCCUCGUGACCCUACCCCAGAAGAAGCAGUCGAGUUACCCGACAUCGUGGUCAGCAGAAGCUGAGGUGGUGGCUGGAUGCU